UGCUGGGCAUGCUCAGCGUGGAGGCAGUAUAUAAAAGGUAGCAGCCCUGUUGGAGAGGAAGGAUGCAGGCUGUGAGCCCUCUCCAGGGAGUUGCUAGAGGCCCUGACUGUAGGACUAUGGCUUGCAGAGUUCCAGACAGACUCCAGGCUGCCUGACAAGCCCCGAGAAGGGACCGUACUGGUGGGAGCCCUGCCAUUUGAGGACCUUGAAGGAACCAAGGAGCUUCAACAAGGGGGAAAGGGAAUGGGAGGUUGAAGAAGCUUGAGGACUGAGUGGACUUCUUGAGGACUGAAUGGACUAUUGCAGUUUUCAGUGUGGCGGGUGAGCUGACUCAGCUAGGCCCUCCUUGUCAUCAACAGUGGUUUUCGUUUGAGGUGCUUGGGAUUCAACAGUGUUCACUUGGAUCUCCAAAUCAUUUACUUGAGAGCCUCUUUGAAUCAACAAUUUCUUGCCGGACACUUCAUUAUGACAAUUGGGCAAGUUAGGUUCACAUGGACUUGUUACCUGUGAAUGAGAUUCUGUGUACACCAGCCACCAAUCCAGAACUAGUCUAUUGCCUCUCUUGUGCCUGUUUGUUAGGGAGAAACAACAAAUUGUCUUUUGGGAGCUGUAGUGACUUGAGUCUUUUGCUUAGUAGUUCCCCAAGCAAGUGCUUCCAUAAUGGUGGGAGAGAAAAAUAAAAAAUCCAUACUGAUAUGCUCACUCCCACCCCCUGUCCCUUUACCACUGGUUACAUGUAGGAAAUACACAACAGGAGGGAGGGCUCAGGACUAGUGUUUCUGAAGCAAUGGCUUCCAAUCCACUAUUAAGAACACAGAUUCUGAGAAGAAGUUAUAGGAGAGAAUAAGGGCUAAUAAUGCUACGCUGGACUUUGUAGCUGACCGCACCAUUGACAGGAGCCUAGACACCCAUGGCCAAAUUUCUGAAAGACAGGCCUACGUUCUGAAUGUAAAAAAUGAGAGUGAACUUGGAUGUCUCUAGCUGCAUAUGCAAUUAUUACUGUUGUAGCUCACACUGUGGAUUUUCAGGCACAUGUUGCCAUUUAGAUUCCUGAUGAGCCAUGUAUGGAUGCAAAACCUUAUUUCUGUAUGUAAUCCUGGUAAUUGCCCAUACAUUUCUGCAUAUGAAAUUUAGGCUUAUCUUUAAUUUAUAAAAUGAGCUUAAUUCUACAUGUAUCUUGACUUGUUAUAAAGUUUAAAAAACCUCCACAAUUCCUUCAACUUUUAGUUUCAAGAUAUAAAGGAAAAACAAUAAACUUUCUCCAAAAACAAACUAAAUGCCAACCCACAAAUCACCACUCCCCAUGUCAUGCAAUAUCCUGAGUGAAGAAACAAGCCGCACCCAAUACCCUAAACCUCAAAAGAACUCAAAUUCUGUCAGACUAGCAGGGGGAAAGAAUUCUGAUGUCAAGGCCUUGCAUGACAGAAUCUCCUACCACAAGCUCUAAGACAUUUCAUUCUAGAUACCUAGCUUGAGGCUCUCAGCUGACUUCCACCACCAUGGCAAUGAGUCUUACAAACAGCCAAGAUCAGAAUCAUCUUCGUUAAUUGCACCAGUUAAGUCUAUGCAGUCUAUUAGGAAGUCUAUGCAGUUCCUGAAGAAAUUACCUAAUAUGUAUUUUGUGGCUAACCCUGCUUAGUAGGCAGGCAGUCAUGUUCUACAUUAGCGGCCUCUUCCAAGUGGCCCACAUAGAACAUAUUACAGUUAUCCAGUCUAGAAGUCACAGAGGCCUAGAUUAUCAUAACGGUCCCAAUUGCCUAUUUAGGUGGACACUGCAGAGGUGGGAAGGGAAAGCCAGCUUUUUUUCCCCACUGGCAUCAACUGAUACUGCAGGAGCAGUCAGAAGUCCAAAACAUCCCCAGAUUUUGAGCCUCCUGAACAAUGGAUGGAGAAACCCUUGAGACAGAAAAUACCCCUGCUAUGCCCUCUAGAUCCAACCCACAGUCUGUAGCAUAUAAUGAACAAGGGCCAGCUAUUCUCAUGUCUUUAAGCACAAUCAGGGUUACUGUGAAUUGGAAGCUGUGCAGUUUUAUUUCAAAACAGAAGGGGCAAAACAAGUGGUGAGCUAAAAAUAGGCUGUUACUCAAACUUAAAGAAAAUCUCUAGAGAUAGGAUUUCCUGAUAUGAGAUUCAAGUUAAUAGGAAGUGCCCUUCCUGUGUUUUUUAGGAUGCAAGGGUAAUGAGUUUAUUUUCAGCAGACUUGAAGUGGAGUCUGAUCUGAGUUCAUUGUUUUAAAGUGACCUUUUCUACAAAAUGUAAAUUUGGUAGAUCAUGUCCCUCAAUAGUUAGGCAUGAUUUUGAAACAACUGUAGUGUCACUUUUAUUUUUAUAUGAAAGGAGUCCUUAAGGAAAUUGUGCAUUGUCCUAUAAAUUUAGGAUCCGAUCCAUAUAUUCUUACUCCUGCUGGAUAGUGCCUUCCUUCACACGUAGCCCCAUCAAAGUCAAUGGAACCAUUUGUGUCGAUUCCGGGAGAGUAAGGGUAUCAGAAUCUGGCCCUUAAAAGUACCUAGGAUUUUACAUAAGACUAAGUACAAUAAUCAUUAACACCACACAGGCUGAUGUGCCUUUCAUUAAACUCACCUGAGAUAACAUAUUCAGCCAACUAGAACUCAUACAAGAAAACAACAACUAGUUUAGGUAGAGAGUUUCCAAAUUCUGAUUAAAAAUGGUUUGGUCUUGUCUACACUAGCAAGCCACGGCAGACUCAAUACCCCCUACUGCUGAAGUCGAUGGUAUUUUGGAUGCUGUAUUUGCAGUUCACCUUUAAUAAUUAAACCUCAUAUAUUUCAAACACAGUGGGUGUCCACCUUAACACCAGUUUAUUAAAUCCUGCUGUUUCUGGUUAAUGGAGGGUUAGGUCUGUGGAUUUCCUUGCUCUUUGACGUUUUGGGUAUUUAAACAACAAAUACGAAAGAAAAAGAAUAUCUGAGUGACUGGCAAGAGUUAAUCUCACUUUUGUACAGCACGAUUAAAUAAACAGAGUAACUGACUUCACAAGAAGAAACAUACACUUCAGAGGAAAAAAUAAUUGAAUCAUUAGGACCAUAUCUAGCCACCAGUGCAAGAAAGAAACUCUCACUGAAAGGUGAGAGACUUUGAUAACAAAACCCCUGGGAGAUUAUGGAUAUUACAGAUAAUCUCUUUUGAUUCUUUGCUGUAGCAGCAAAACACUAAGGUUUUUGAACAUUCCCAGCAGCUACAAAGAGAUGCUAUUAGAUCAAAUUCAAGAGUUUUUUUGUUUUGUUUUGUUUUUAAGAAAAAAUUGCUCAAACCUGUAUUUAUGCCUUAAAAUAAUACUUUUUCAUUAAAAUACUUUAAAAAUCUAUGCAAAGGUAAGCAAAUAUUAUCUCACUUUUAUUCUCCUUAUUGGAAAACAAACCUCUUCUCUGCUUAAGAGACUUGCUCAAUGUUAAAUAGUGAGCCAGUAGCAAAACCAGGAUUAGAAUCCAGGAGGCAAAUUCUCAAAUACAGGUAACUUCCAGGGGAGUCAGCAGGAGUUGCAUUUGACCCCUAGCUUCUAUGUUCCAGUCCUGUUCUCUAACCACAUGUUCCGAUGAAUAUUGGGAGUUUUACUGCCUUUCAUUGAAGUAUUUAAAAAUUUUAAAAUAUCUUUUUUCUUUUUAAAAAUAAAUUAAAAAAUGGUCAGAAAGAACUCAGGUUUAGCUAUAUAAAACCUGACAAAUGCUUACAUAGAUUUUUCCUUUUCAUAUAAAGCACAAAUGUUGUGAAUUUCAGUGAUGUCAUCAGCCUCAAUUUAAUUUGUUUGCUUGUCAGUUUGUGUCAAGAAGCAUGACUUAAUAGCAAUGACAUACACAUGAACUCAUUCCCAAUUUGAUAUUAGUUUGAGUUUCCAAAAUAUAUAGCAUUGAAACAACACUUUAAAGUAACAUAUGCAAACAAGUUUAGCUUGUAUAACAAUUUAGCCCUGCUUAUAGAUAAUGCCCUAUUUUAUCAAUAUUUUAAAUAUUAUGAAGCAGAUCUCCAGGUCUG